rnacentral:misc_RNA from 1 species
GAUGAAGAACGUAGUGAAAUGCGAUAAGUAAUGUGAAUUGCAGAAUUCAGUGAAUCAUCGAAUCUUUGAACGCACAUUGCGCCCGCUAGUAUUCUGGCGGGCAUGCCUGUCCGAGCGUCAUUUCAACCCUCAAGCCCCCGGGCUUGGUGUUGGGGAUCGGCGAGCCUCCGCGCCCGCCGUCCCCUAAAUCUAGUGGCGGUCUCGCUGUAGCUUCCUCUGCGUAGAAGCACACCUCGCACUGGGAAACAGCGCGGCCACGCCGUUAAACCCCCAACUUCUGAACGUUUGACCUCGGAUCAGGUAGGAAUACCCGCUGAACUUAAGCAUAUCAAUAAGCGGAGGA